GACGAACGCUGGUGGCGUGCUUAACACAUGCAAGUCGAACGGAAAGGCCCUGCGUUUGUGGGGUGCUCGAGUGGCGAACGGGUGAGUAACACGUGAGUAACCUGCCCUUGACUUUGGGAUAACUUCAGGAAACUGGGGCGAAUACCGGAUAGGAGCUCCUGCUGCAUGGUGGGGGUUGGAGAGUGUCGGCGGUUGGGGAUGGACUAGCGGGUUAUCAGCUUGUUUGUGGGGUAGUGGCUUACGAAGGCUUUGACGGGUAGCCGGCCUGAGAGGGUGACCGGCCACAUUGGGACUGAGAUACGGCGCAGACUCCUACGGGCGGCAGCAGUCGAGAAUAUUGCACAAUGGGCGGAAGCCUGAUGCAGCAACGUCGCGUGCGUGAUGACGGCUUUCGGGUUGUAAACCGCUUUCGCCUGUGCCGAGGCGUGAGUGACGGUAAUGGGUAAAGAAGCACCGGCUAACUACGUG
rnacentral:rRNA from 1 species